rnacentral:rRNA from 1 species
AUUGAACGCUGGCGGCAUGCCUAACACAUGCAAGUCGAACGAAGUCUUCGGACUUAGUGGCGGACGGGUGAGUAACACGUGGGAACGUACCUUUUGGUUCGGAACAACUCAGGGAAACUUGAGCUAAUACCGGAUGAGCCCUUAGGGGGAAAGAUUUAUCGCCGAAAGAGCGGCCCGCGUUAGAUUAGCUAGUUGGUGAGGUAAAGGCUCACCAAGGCUACGAGCUAUAGCUGGUCUGAGAGGAUGAUCAGCCACACUGGGACUGAGACACGGCCCAGACUCCUACGGGAGGCAGCAGUGGGGAAUCUUGCGCAAUGGGCGAAAGCCUGACGCAGCCAUGCCGCGUGAAUGAUGAAGGUCUUAGGAUUGUAAAAUUCUUUUACCAGGGACGAUAAUGACGGUACCUGGAGAAAAAGCCCCGGCUAACUCCGUGCCAGCAGCCGCGGUAAAAC